GAUUUCCAGUAGUAUUGUAUUUGAGUAAUCUUUGACAUGGCAUAAUUUUUAGUAGCACACAAACCACACGAGAGGCACACAUGCUCUAGCCAUACCUGAUCGGUAAUAAAAUUGUCGCACAAGAUGAGAAACAAGUUUAUUGCUACGUUGUGCUCGACAUUGCAAUAUGGAAAUUCCUACUUUUUGUAAGCACAUUCCCAUUGAUUUAUCUUGAAGCACUGAUCGUAUUAUUUCUAUUUGUCCCAUUCCCAAAUUAUCCAGUUAAUCAGUUCACAUGGAUGCACAAAGCCAAAUUAUAUAAGAUGCACCUAUUGUAUAUAUGUUUUUCUAAUCACCAGAUCCAACCUUGGAAUUUGCUUUGGCCAUCAGGUCUUAUUGAGUUAUUAAGUUAUACGAACUAAACAAUUCUGAAGGUGUGGAUUUAUCUGAAGGUCUUCCUCUGCAGCUUAGUAAGGGGAGAAAUGGAGGUCUACACAGCAGCAAGAUGAAGGUCUCCCUCUAUUGGUACCAUGGGAAGGAAUGAUAUGGCAGAGUCACACGGGGUUAGGUCUUUAUUCAUGGGUUUGUAUGGAUAUUUCACUUAAUUGCAGACUGCAAAUGCACUAUUGCUAUUCUGGUUUUCCACAUAUCCCAACAUCUUAUAUGCAUUAAGUUAUAGAGGGAACGACCUCAUGGUCAAGUAUUAUUUCUCAUGGAUAAUAAAUAGCCAGGGGUCACUCUGCUUUAGUCUUAUGCAAUUUCUCUCUAUGCCCAGGGAGCACAAGGAGUUGGGGAGGAAGGAUUCCAUGACUUCCAUCGGCGUCGGUAGGCAACACUUUUCAUUGGGUAUCCAAAGGUUCUGUUCAUUCUUAUCUCUGUUUUUCAAAUAUGUAUGCCCAUACACAUAUAAUCUUAAGUCCAGUUAUAUCACAAACAUUGAAGGUUCAGCCAAAGCUAUUGGGUCCUAUUUGCUUGUCUAUUUUUGUGUGCAAUUUCACCUUUGUAUUUUUGUGUAGCAUCUGAUGUAGAGAAAGGAAAUACACUCUAGCUAUCCUACCAUUAAAAUCAUAUACUUACAUGGUAGGCGUACCUGGACAAACAUUAGUGCCGUAGAGCAAGAAUAUGUGUUGCCAUACAUAUUUUUGGUUGUUUCCCCUGUUUUUUCGUUUGUAUGAUUCACCGCCUACUAAUCAGAAGUUGUUCUGAUGCUCUUUGAUGUCUUAUAUUCUGAGUUGAUACUUCUGUAUGGUCAGAGGGUUAUUAGGUUUUUUAUGUGCUGGGACAAAGCUAUCA